rnacentral:rRNA from 1 species
AUUGAACGCUGGCGGCAGGCCUAACACAUGCAAGUCGAGCGGAUGAAGGGAGCUUGCUCCUGGAUUCAGCGGCGGACGGGUGAGUAAUGCCUAGGAAUCUGCCUGGUAGUGGGGGAUAACGUCCGGAAACGGGCGCUAAUACCGCAUACGCCCUGAGGGAGAAAGUGGGGGAUCUUCGGACAUCACGCUAGCAGAUGAGCCUAGGUCGGAUUAGCUAGUUGGUGGGGUAAGGGCCUACCAAGGCGGCGAUCGGUAACUGGUCUGAGAGGAUGAUCAGGCACACUGGAACUGAGACACGGUCCAGAGUACUACGGGAGGCAGCAGUGGGGAAUGUUGGACAAUAGGCGAAAGCCUGACACAGUCAUGCGGCGUGUGUUAAGAAGGUCUUCGGAUUGUAAAGCACUUUAAGUUGGGAGGAAGGGCAGUAAGUUAAUACCUUGCUGUUUUGACGGUACCAACAGAAUAAGCACCGGCUAACUUCGUG